CACGUAGGCACCAAGCGUUGUCCGGAUUUAUUGGGCGUAAAGCGUCCGCAGGUGGCUAUGUAAGUCUGCUGUUAAAGAGCAAAGCUUAACUUUGUAAAAGCAGUGGAAACUACAUAGCUAGAGUGCGUUCGGGGCAGAGGGAAUUCCUGGUGUAGCGGUGAAAUGCGUAGAGAUCAGGAAGAACACCGGUGGCGAAGGCGCUCUGCUAGGCCGCAACUGACACUGAGGGACGAAAGCUAGGGGAGCGAAUGGG
rnacentral:rRNA from 1 species